rnacentral:ncRNA from 1 species
ACGAGGAGUAGAAGCUGGCAGGUGGGUCACACUAGGUCAUUGCUCCAUUC